rfam:Picea glauca, whole genome shotgun sequence.
AACCUUGUCAAAAUUAGUACGAGCAAGGGGAAUACGACUAUUUAAUUAAAAAAGCACUGUGAUGGUCCCUACGGAUGCUAACAUAAUGUGAUUUAUGCCCAAUGCUCUACAUGCCAAAGUGAUCAGAAACUCAACCAAGCACGGAUAAACGAUGGGAGUAACUAUGACUCUCUUAAGGUAGUCAGAUGUCUCGUCAUCUAAUUAGUGACACAGAUGAAUGGAUUAACGAGAUUCCCAUUGUCCCAAGCUACUAUCUAGAGAAAACAAAACCAAGGGAACGAGCUUGGAAAAAUUAGCAGGGAAAGAUGACCCGAUUGAGCUUGACUCUAGUCCAACUUUGUGAAAUGACUUGAGAGGUGUAGAAUAAGUGGUAUUUGUUUUCAGCGCAAGUGAAAUACCACUACUUUUAACAUCAUUUUACUUAUUGUGUGGGGUAGAGACGAGGCAUUGCACAUAUGUUAAAAGAUAAUGCACAUUUCCUCGAAGUGUUGACUUUGAUGGCAAUGUUCGAAAACUCAUUCUUCACACACUUGAUUGCAAUGAGUUUAGGAAACAAAAGAGGAUCAUUUCUUUUAAGGAUGAAGAAAAUUCCUAUAACAAUCCCUAUGUUUUUAGCCAACAUCCCCCUAUAAGUAUCUAUGU